GAAAAAAACUAGAGUACCUUGAGGAAAUCGAAGCUAUUACAAGGAGAAAAUACAAACCCCAGAUGUUGCCCUUGCUCAGAUUGUAACUAAAGAAUCCGGUAAUGCAAAGGCAACAAUGUAAAGUACUGAGCUGUCAUGCUAAAGUUUUGCCAUGAACUGUUGGCUGUAAACUAAACAAAAAUGUUUCCAUUUUUAUAAUGCUUAGGUAUGAAGCACAGUAGGAUGUUAGAAAGUGUUAUUUUUACUAUACAGCUAUUUAGCUUUGUGUACAUAAAACUAAAGAACCCAAAAAGCGUGAAGUAUUGUUAUUAAGCACUAUCUUUUGCAGACUCCAGAGGCGACUCUUUUCUUUGAAGAAAGGCAGAUCAAACGAAAAUUGUAAAUGGGUAAUAAGCAAACCCAUUAUAGGAAAACAAAAGUGUGAUAAUUUAAGUAAUGCACCAACUCACAAUCUUGAAAUCUCUGGUCAUUCUGCAACAAUGAAGAAAAAACAGCCUUGGACCAGCAAAGAAGAUGAACUAUUAAAGAAAGGUAUAAAAAAAUAUGGAGCAGGGAACUGGAGCAGAAUACUAGUUCACUAUGGAUUUAACAACCGCACAGGCGUCAUGCUGAAGGAUCGCUGGAGAACCAUGAAAAAGCUGAACAUGGUCAAUUAAAAGUAAUAUUCCUUUUUCCCCUGUUCUACAAUUUUACUAAUCUUCCUUUUGUAAACCAUAAUUCUGUAGUAAAGAUGCUUUUGUUCAAUGGCUUCUGUUGCACAUUGUUGAGUAAGUAAGGAAAGUCUAUUAUCACUUUUGUGUGAUGCUGCAGCAAUAUUUUUAU